AUACGGAGGGUGCAAGCGUUAAUCGGAAUUACUGGGCGUAAAGGGCGCGUAGGCGGUCUAUCAAGUCAGGUGUGAAAUCCCACGGCUCAACCGUGGAGGUGCAUCUGAAACUGAUAGACUUGAGUAUGGGAGAGGAAAGUGGAAUUUCCGGUGUAGAGGUGAAAUUCGUAGAUAUCGGGAGGAACACCAGUGGCGAAGGCGACUUUCUGGACCAAUACUGACGCUGAGGCGCGAAAGCGUGGGGAGCAAACAGGGUUAGAAACCCCAGUAGUCC
rnacentral:rRNA from 1 species